rnacentral:piRNA from 1 species
UACUGAAUUCUGUCACAUGUCAGGCCACAGU